rnacentral:rRNA from 1 species
UACGUAGGGUGCUAGCGUUGUUCGGAAUCAUUGGGCGUAAAGCGCGUGUAGGCGGUUAGUUAAGUCGAGUGUGAAAGCCCUGGGCUCAACCUAGGAAGUGCAUUCGAAACUGCUGAGCUUGAGUUCUGGAGAGGAAGGCGGAAUUCUCGGUGUAGAGGUGAAAUUCGUAGAUAUCGAGAGGAACACCGGUGGCGAAGGCGGCCUUCUGGACAGCAACUGACGCUGAGACGCGAAAGCGUGGGGAGCAAACAGG